GGGCUGCGCUGGCUGGAAAAAGGAACGCGAGUACAGCGCGCGUGGCGCGGGGUCUGCUCCAGGACGGAAUCUUUUGGGUGGCCCGCAUGAGGGGUUUGCAGGACCCCGGGCCUUUGGGAAGUUAUCUGCUAAACUCCAGUAGACCCUGAGGAGCAGCGGCUCAUGAAUCUUCUUAAACUUCUGUCAUCAGCGGCUGGGCCAGCUGAAGGUGACCAUGGCACACGAGGGAGAGAGAAGCCCGCGAGAGGCGGAGAAAUGUGGGGUCGUCCAGGAGGGUCGACAAGGCAAAGAACCUGAAGACGACCCAAAAGGGUACCUAGAGUUGAACUUCCUCUCUUUUUAGAAGAAUGGAUUUCUCGGAGUCUGAAAAAUUUAUGGUUCUUCUCUGGAAGAAUUUUAUUUUAAAGAGGCGGCGAUGUAUUGCUUUAGUUGUGGAAAUGGUCCUCACAUUUCUGUUUAGUGCUGCGCUUUUGGCAACACGCUCUGUUAUUACUAUAAAUAAGAACGGACCUUUCGAUUUUGCUGCUCAGCCUGUCGAUGAAGUGCCUUUCUACAUCACAGCUUCCUUAAUUUCUCCUUCUCCUUUGGAAUUGGCUUACGUGCCUUCCAGAAGUACUGUGGUUCAGGGUAUUAUUGAAAGAGUGAAAAUGGAUUUAAACCCUCAAAUGAAAGGUUGAACCUGCACCAGUCAUCCAAAGCAGUGACCCAACGCUUAUCUUUAUCUUUUUGCUGUUUUAUGCCAUCGCCACAAUAUGCUUCAGCUUUAUGGUUAGCACUUUCUUCAGUAGAGAGUCUUGCUAUGUUGCUGAGGCUGGAGUACAGUGGCCUUUCUACUACAAUGAGGAAUUCUGCCUUGGGACUUGAGAGAGGAAUUUAAAGGAAAAAAGGAACAUAGCAAGGAGAGAAAUAGAAGACAUAAAAAAGAACCGUAUGGAACUCCUAGACUCGAAGAGCGAGGAGAGUUGCUGCCAGGCUUGCCUUCCAUGUGUUUCGGAGCCGAUGAUGAGCACCCCACCUCCUGCCAGAGAGCUCCUGCAGCCACAGCCGCAGCCGCAGGCCCUGCACUACGCGCUGGCCAACGUGCAGCAGGUGCAGAUCCACCAGAUCGGAGAAGACGGACAGGUGCAAGUAAUCCCACAGGGACACCUCCACAUCGCCAAGGUGCCGCAGGGGGAGCAAGUCCAGAUCACGCAGGACAGCGAGGGCAACCUCCAGAUCCAUCACGUGGGGCAGGAUGGUCAG
rnacentral:lncRNA from 1 species